AGAAAGAAAAAAGGAAGAGUAGGGAGGACGUUGUCAGAAACACAAGGCUCUCGGCUCAUUCUGGAGCCAGAUCCUCUCAGCCCAACUCUGCUCUAUCAGUCUUCUGGCCCGGAGGGUGACACCCACAGCCUGUUUAUCAGAGCCAAGCAGCCAUGACACAUCCAGGCCUUUGCCAGGCAGCAUCCUGAUGUAGGUAUCAAAGUCCAGCCCUCCAGCGCUGUGUUGCAUAGACCCAGCUGAGACCAGAGCUCCAGAAGACACCAGCAGGGUUUCCCUGGCCACGGAGAGUUUGGCUCAGGACCUGCCUGCCUCUCUGCUCGGUAGGCAACGGGCUCUGAGCAGGCAUCCCGGCCCGAGGGAUGGGCUGGUUGUUCCAUGACGCCUAUUUCAGCUAAGGAGGCUGGGUCGACAGGUGUAACCGGGUUUUCCCCCAGUGCCCACCCUUUCCUAGCAGACAAUCAGAGGGAGAGAAGACCACAUUUUGGAUUUCUCUGGGGGAAGGAAAUUAGAAGCCAACAGGUCUCUCUCCCUGGGAGAGUGGAGGCACCCGCCAGGGUUCCCAGGAAACUGCCAGCUCAGCCUACCUGACAAAUAACCUCUCCUGACAAGUGGCCAGUUGACUCAAAACAGCAGCGCCGCUGACGAAAAACAAACCAAUAGCAGUUUGAGACGAGGGGUGUUCCAGGUACACGCGCAAGACGCAGCUUCUCCUCCCCACACGAAGUGGUAGGGAAAUACUCAGAACAAAUUUACCUUGGAGCAGCAAGACUGUGCUUGCUUCAGCCCUGUCUUCACCUGGAUUACUCAUGGUGAUCGCGGGAGGCCCUGCCUGCAGAGCCAUGAAUCAGAUUCAACUAAUGUUCACGAGUGCCUGCCCUGUGCUGGACACUUUGCUGACUGUUCCUAUUACUUCAUUUGAUUCCUGCUUCUCCUUCAGAAGAGUCUAACUGGUCUCAUUUUACAGACACCUGGAGAAACGAAGAGCCUUACCUACGACCUCCUAAGUGUUGAGUGAGGAGCUGGGUUUCUGGCGUGGUUGUCUGGGUUUCUUUUCUGAUAUCACGGCCUGUGUUGCUUCUACCGACCCUUGUCUCCAUGUUAUCAGAGUCAGUGAAACCCACCAACACUUAGAUGUUAAGUAGCAAUGAGGGUAAGAAAAAAAAUACUCUUCUUUGCUAACUUCAAUUUUAUAAACAAAAAGCAGGCAGUUGAUAAUAGAGAACAGAGCAACCCAUAAUUUGAGUAGUCAUGAAUCAUGAUCUUGUUUAAACCCAUGUCUUUAUGUGUGUGUGUGUGUGUGUGUGUGUGUGUGUGUGUAUGUGUGUGUGUUCAAUUUUUUACAGUGUAAACAAGAUCUCCAUGUUAUAGAAAGGUGUGAAAGGUGAACACAGCAGAUUUGAAUUACAGAGUAUAUAGGUGUGGGCUGUCCCCCAGCUCAUGGGAUUUCAUCGAAAGUCCUAUGUAGCAUGUGUCCAAAGACAACAGUGUCUCGGCAGAAGCCAUGUCACAUUGGUGAUAUCAGGGAGUCACGCACCCAUGUGGGACCUAAAGAUAAGAAAUAUUCCCACAUAGUCUGUUCCAGUCAAUACAAUAUGUGCCAGCUUCACAUGAAAUGUCCUUUUGGCAAAUACAAAGGUUCUCUUAGGGAAACAUAGGAUAGACCCAUGCUGUUAUUUUUAUCUAACAUUAAAAUAGUCAAGUGCAUUAUUAAAGAACAAAAAUCAAUUAUCCCUAAUACAUCACCCUACUAAUAAGGCUAAUUUCACUUUUGUGUAGACCUUCCUGAGGACAUCACUGUCUUUAGAAUGCAUCAUUUUGGCUCCUGUGGUCUCUUGGCAAGUGACAAUUUGCAAGAGUUGGAAUAACCUAGUUUUGCAUUUUAUUUUGCAAGACUAUGGCCCUCAGGAGCAUGAUUGCAUGGUGUUUGUCUGUCCUUUUAUGUACUCCCUGAUGGUGUUUGGGUGUUCAAACAAACAUACUAAGAACAAAGUAAGUGUGCUAAGGAAGACCAUCUCUCCGCCACCUGGCUCACCCCAGUCAUUUCUGGUACAAAAGGAAGAACCCAGGGAAUGCUUCCUGAUUAUACAUUUUCAGUUUCUUAAGCAACUGCAAGAGGAAGGCUGGGACUAGGCCUUAUUUCCUCUGAUGCAGUGUGUUUAUCAGCCCACUGCCCCUAUCACAAUUCAGCUUCUAGUUUUUCCAUUUUUAAUAAAUUCCUCUUUUCUUAAAAAAAAAAAAAAGUCACACCAAAAACUGCACAUUCAAUGCUGCCAGUAAAAUCAGUGAGAAAGGAGAAAGAUAGAGGAUCUCUUCCACCAUUCUUGGGGCUUCCUUUACUAUAGGUCAACCCUUCAAAUAUGGCUUUUCUUGGCCCAUGAGGGAGGACAGAGACGUGGCUUCAAGGGGUCAGCACAAUGACCGUAAAGCAGCAGGACUUGUCACGUUCCUCUAUCACUCCCUCCUCUUCUCCAGCAAUUCCUUCUCUCCUCUUUCUCUCUCCUUGCCCCUUGCUCUUACUCUCCCUCCACCCCUUUUAUCUGGACAGGUUUUUAAGGUGGUGAGAAUAUUAUGUUUAAGGAAAUCAUUCUGAGUGUUCUGAUGACCUCAGAGGAAGGUUCGUUGGCUUUCCUAGUUCUCUGAUGACUAAUUUCUUCUCUGGGAGGAAACCAUUCGUCAGUCAGGCAAAUUAGCUCUCCUCCAGUGCAGUGACCAUCUGCUGGUCUUCGAGAUGUAAGAGACUCAUGAGGUGCUUUUUUCAAGAUGAAGGCUGAGAAUCUGUGUCGGCUCCUCUCUGGAAGGAAAUAGAAGCAUCUCUGCCCAGGCCGCUGCUCCUGGACAAGGAGAGAGCGGGAUGAGUGUGAGGAGCUGACAGGGCAGUCAAGGCCUUCUUUACGCUGCCCCAAAUUGCCUUUUCAGCCUUGUCUUCUAAAACUCCCUGACCUGUAUGUAGCCUUCUCUCAAGAUAAAUUGAUCUUUCUUCUCUGUUCGUAAAAGGGCAUGCCUCAGACCUUAGCUUGUUUGCCCUUCCCAUGGCCUACAGCACCAUCCCACACCUGAACCACGAUUGGCACACAAGGGAGGGUCAGCUGCCCCCUGCUGCCACCUCCUGUGUGAAAAAAAUGCAUCUGUCCUUUAGUGGUCCAGGCCCAGGCCCAUCCUUCCUCUGCUUCCCUUGAGGAGUUCGGGUUGUUCCAUCCCUCCCUUUCUCCUCCCGACACCUAUAGGAGUCAGGCGAGAAUUAAUCUCCAUCACAAAAACACACUGGAAGGGCGUCUGGGUGGCACAGUUGGUGGAGCAUCAGACUCUUGGUUUGGGCUCAGGUCCUGAUCUCGUGGGUGGUGGGUUUGAGCCCUGUGCCCAGCUCCAUGCUGGCAGCACAGAGCCUGCUUGGGAUUCUUUCUCUCAUCCCCUCAUCCCUCCUCUCUCUCUCUCUCUCUGCCCCCUCGUGUGCAUGUGUGCACACUCUUUCUCUCUCUCUCAAAAUAAAUAAACUUAAAAAAAAGAAAACAAAAAAGAGAAAACACACUGGAGCUGAAACUGGAUAUGAUGCUUUUGAUAAAAUUUACCAGGCUUUGAAAAAGCGUGUGUAUGUGUGUGUAUGUGUGUAUGUGUUUGUGUCUUAGAGAGCUAAAGGCAGAUAACAUGGCUGAGAGGGUGGUGAACAGAGGUGAUAAACACAGAGAGGGGCGCCUGGGUGGCUCAGUCAGUUAAGUGUCUGACUUCGGUUCAGGUCAUGGUCCCACGGUUCGUGGGUUCGAGCCCCUCCCCUGCUUUCACUCCCCAUAAAUAAACAUUAAAAAAUUUUUUUUAAAAACCACAGAGAGAAUAAUUAAGUGAGGUGAUGAACAUAAAAUAUCACCUUCUGGUCCUAAUCACAUAUCCUACAGAACCCAUUUCCACGAGCUUUCUCACACAGCUGUGUUAAUUUUCCACUCUCUCCACUUUGGCCUUCAUCCUGUAACUGUCAGUCUUAUAAAGGCUAGAUACACACCAAGACUUCCCAAACUCCAGUUCAAUAUUUAAAAAACAUCUCUUCAAUUUGGAGAGAUCACCACCUCUCUCUCUCUCUCUCUCUCUCUUUCUCCCCAAAAUGACAAAAUGUCCCCUAAAUUGCAUUUAACCUCCUAAGUGUUGCUUUGGGCUCCUCCUGUAUGCUCUUGACCAAAACAAAAAACUGAAUAGUUUAUAAUCUCCCUUCCCUUCUCCAGCCCUUUCCUGAAAGUUCUAACUUGGUAUGAAAACAAUUUCAGACAGUCUCCAUCUCAUCCUGCAGUUUGCAUGUACACCAAAACCUUUGACACAGCAAACAAAGCCUCCAAGAACCUUCACUUUCUAAUCAUGUAUGUGCAUACUCUUAGAAUGUUGUAAUAAAAUACUCUGUAAAUAAAAUGUGGGCAUUAAAAAAGCAAUUGUGAAUACCUGAGUUGGCAACUAUAAUAAAGGCAUAUUUGUGAAAGAUAA